CUCUGUCUCCUCAGCGUCCCUUUCCCUCUCCCUCUCGUCAGAUUCGUUUUGUUUUUUUUUGAACUAUCACUCUCUUCAGAUUCUUCUCCCUCAUCUUCUUUUCAUUCAACCUCUCUCUCUCUCUCUCUCUCUCUCUCUCUAUAAACCUACAUUCUUGCAGCAUCAGAUUUGGCCUCGCUCUCUCCAUCAAUGAACUCGUCGACGGCGGUGGAGGGCUUCCGGCGUCGGCCUUCUAACGUCCGUUCUCUACAUUGGCUGAAUAGCUUUGUUUACCCAAACACAUUAGCAGCCCUAGAUCCCCAAAUCUCCUCCAUUGACAAAGAAGAAAAAGCAAACCCUUGUUUGGAACUUUUAUUGCUCUGCUACACAGAGGUAAACCGGAAAUCAUCCCUUUGAUUUUGAUCCUUUAACAGUUCUUAUUGCUUUGUGAAUGCAAACAGUUAAGAGAGGCAGUGUUGACUGGGAAAACAGAAUCAAGGUUGGCCAAAAUGGGGUUUGGUGAUGAAGCAUCAAAGGUCAUUGCAUCUUUAAGGUGUGCUCUUGUUGAAGUUGAAGCUGCAACACAAGCAAAUGACACCAAUAAAUCUUUAGAAAAAUUGUAUUAAUAGGUAGAAAGUUAGAAUUAUUAAUUUUAUAAUUGUAAUAAUUUGCAGAGUGUAAUAUAUUAGAAUUAUUAAUUUUAUAAUUGUUAUAAUUUGAAAUGUCAAUUUUAUUGAAUAAGUACUAAUGGUUAAUUUUUUUUAUUUUUUUUAUUUUUGAGUUUUACAGAUUGCUUUUGUGUGGGCUAUUGUGUAUAUUUAUUUUUGUGUACGAAGAGCAUUUGUUCUGUAUAUGG